AGCUCUCAACUCAAUAGUUAGCUCUCACCGCAGAUCUAUAAUUUACAGCUAAACGGUAUUAGCAUUAUUAAUUCAUGAUUAUGUGAUCACUGACGUGUUCUAAUUAUAUUUUCUGCUGAAGAAGAAGAAGAAGAGGUUUUCCUCCCUAUAAAUAACUGCAAACAUAUACUGGAACAGAAAUAUAUUAAAUCCAGAAUGAAGGCAAUUAGCAUAGUAUGUAUGCUCUUGGUCUUGGCCACAACAAAUCUUGCUUUCCAUAGCUCCUCCACUUUCGCUCGACAAUUAACUGUGUCUUGCGGAAGUCCAGGGGUUUCCACUCAAUCGCUUGAAAGACGUGGAACUCCUCCAGCACCAUGCAAUGGAGAUGAUCCCGUACCACCGCCAUGUCCACCAGGGAUUAUUUCAUGCUAGCCCUAAUCAUCAAAGUUCAACUUUCUUAAAGAAAAAUGUUAGUUUAUCUGCAGCUCCUUCCUUCCGGUGUUCUCAGCCUUGUUAUUUCAUAUAUAUAUGUAUAUGCAUGUAAGCAGUCCAAUAUUCUGAGACGCAAUAUGCAUAUAUUUGCAAAUAAAAAGUAAUUAUUUUAUAAA